GACUCGAUGGCGGAAGGCCCGCAUCCACUUAGGGUUCCUGCAGGGUCUGGACAAAUUUGUGGGCGUUGCCCGUUCGAUUCGGGCUCGAGUCA